AAUGAACGCUGGCGGCGCGCCUAAUACAUGCAAGUCGAGCGAGAAGACGUAGCAAUACGUUUGUAAAGCGGCGAACGGGUGAGGAAUACAUGGGUAACCUACCCUCGAGUGGGGAAUAACUAGCCGAAAGGUUAGCUAAUACCGCGUACGCUCCUUGGACUUCGGUUCAGGGAGGAAAGCGAUACCGUGGGUAUCGCGCUCUUGGUUGGGCUCAUGUCCUAUCAGCUUGUUGGUGAGGAACGGCUCACCAAGGCUUCGACGGGUAGCUGGUCUGAGAGGACGAUCAGCCACACUGGCACUGCGACACGGGCCAGACUCCUACGGGAGGCAGCAGUAAGGAAUAUUGCGCAAUGGGCGAAAGCCUGACGCAGCGACGCCGCGUGAGGGAUGACGGCCUCGG
rnacentral:rRNA from 1 species